rnacentral:lncRNA from 1 species
GCAAGAUCCGACUGCAUGCAAAAGCUGCAGGUCACCGUGCUAGCGAUGGUGUGUGGGGGGUUGGUGGGGACCAUGCCAGUAAUGCGAUGUCGCUGCGAAUGCUUUAUGCUAUUGAAGAUCACGAUGAUUACUGCAAUAAGGGCUAACGUUGUCGGUCAUGCCAGUGGUGUGACUGAAAUGGCCGUUCACACAGACUGUGCUGUGUUGGCGUCUCGUGUUUCAGCACAUACCUGCUGAGGUUCCCGUGGUGUCGGGACAACGAAUAUCGUACAAAGCAUCACUUCGUCUUACGGAGACUCGAAUUUUCGUGUACACGCAGAGAACUCCAAGUCCAACAUUAGUACUGACUGCUAGUACGCUAGCAUGCGUGUUACUAUAAUCUGCAUAGCGAUCCAGGCUCCUCUUGAGGAGUGACUCGAC